rnacentral:rRNA from 1 species
ACGCUGGCGGCAGGCUUAACACAUGCAAGUCGAACGGUAGCAGGAGAAAGCUUGCUUUCUUGCUGACGAGUGGCGGACGGGUGAGUAAUGCUUGGGAAUCUGGCUUAUGGAGGGGGAUAACUACGGGAAACUGUAGCUAAUACCGCGUAGUGUCGAGAGACGAAAGUGCGGGACCGCAAGGCCGCAUGCCAUGAGAUGAGCCCAAGUGGGAUUAGGUAGUUGGUGGGGCAAAGGCCUACCAAGCCUGCGAUCUCUAGCUGGUCUGAGAGGAUGGCCAGCCACACUGGAACUGAGACGCGGUCCAGACUCCUACGGGAGGCAGCAGUGGGGAAUAUUGCGCAAUGGGGGGAACCCUGACGCAGCCAUGCCGCGUGAAUGAAGAAGGCCUUCGGGUUGUAAAGUUCUUUCGGUAUUGAGGAAGGUUGAUGUGUUAAUAGUACAUCAAAUUGACGUUAAAUACAGAAGAAGCACCGGCUAACUCCGUGCCAGCAGCCGCGGUAAUACGGAGGGUGCGAGCGUUAAUCGGAAUAACUGGGCGUAAAGGGCACGCAGGCGGUUAUUUAAGUGAGGUGUGAAAGCCCCGGGCUUAACCUGGGAAUUGCAUUUCAGACUGGGUAACUAGAGUACUUUAGGGAGGGGUAGAAUUCCACGUGUAGCGGUGAAAUGCGUAGAGAUGUGGAGGAAUACCGAAGGCGAAGGCAGCCCCUUGGGAAUGUACUGACGCUCAUGUGCGAAAGCGUGGGGAGCAAACAGGAUUAGAUACCCUGGUAGUCCACGCUGUAAACGCUGUCGAUUUGGGGAUUGGGCUUAAAGCUUGGUGCCCGUAGCUAACGUGAUAAAUCGACCGCCUGGGGAGUACGGCCGCAAGGUUAAAACUCAAAUGAAUUGACGGGGGCCCGCACAAGCG